rnacentral:rRNA from 9 species
AAAUUGAAGAGUUUGAUCAUGGCUCAGAUUGAACGCUGGCGGCAGGCCUAACACAUGCAAGUCGAACGGUAACAGGAAGCAGCUUGCUGCUUUGCUGACGAGUGGCGGACGGGUGAGUAAUGUCUGGGAAACUGCCUGAUGGAGGGGGAUAACUACUGGAAACGGUGGCUAAUACCGCAUAACGUCGCAAGACCAAAGAGGGGGACCU